rnacentral:rRNA from 1 species
GACAGAGGGUGCAAACGUUGUUCGGAAUUACUGGGCGUAAAGCGCGUGUAGGCGGCUAAGUAAGUCGGGCGUGAAAUCCCACGGCUCAACCGUGGAAGUGCACUCGAAACUGCAUAGCUAGAGUCCUGGAGAGGAAGGUGGAAUGCUUGGUGUAGAGGUGAAAUUCGUAGAUAUCAAGCGGAACACCGGUGGCGAAGGCGGCCUUCUGGACAGUGACUGACGCUGAGACGGCGAAAGCGGUGGGGAGCAAACAGG